UACGAAGGGGGCUAGCGUUGCUCGGAAUCACUGGGCGUAAAGGGUGCGUAGGCGGGUCUUUAAGUCAGGGGUGAAAUCCUGGAGCUCAACUCCAGAACUGCCUUUGAUACUGAAGAUCUUGAGUCCGGGAGAGGUGAGUGGAACUGCGAGUGUAGAGGUGAAAUUCGUAGAUAUUCGCAAGAACACCAGUGGCGAAGGCGGCUCACUGGCCCGAUACUGACGCUGAUGCACGAAAGCGUGGGGAGCAAACAGG
rnacentral:rRNA from 1 species